AACGACGUGACACUCGAGAAUUGACGUGAAUUGCAGACACACCGAACUUGAAUACUUUGAACGCACAUUGCAGCGUCGAUCAAAGAUGUCGACGCUACGCCUGUCUGAGGGUC
rnacentral:rRNA from 1 species